UUGGAUCUUGAUCCGAUAAGUACUGAUUUAUAGGGUAUCCUAACGAGUCUAGGGCAUACUACUUCUAUUAUACUGAAGAACAAAAAGUGUUUGGCAAUAAUAAGGUAUUCCUUUUAGAAAAAGAGUUCCUUAGGGAAGGAACUAAUGCCACUAAGGUUAAACUUGAAGAAGUUCGACAGAUAGAAGAACUGACACAGAUAAGUAGAAAUAAAGAAUCAAAUUUGAUUAGAUCAAAUUUAGAGUCCAUUGUUAAGGCACCUUUAAGG
rnacentral:lncRNA from 1 species